ensembl:snoRNA
AGCCUUAUUCUAGAUGGAAAUGGGCACUGUCAUUCAUGGUGUCCAGAAAUUGUUAAUGUAGGUACAUUGAGACAUGCGUUAUGCUUCCAUUACAGCAAGUUCAUUGCAAUGGUGAGUGACAAUGAGACCUGUAACAUUU